CGUGGUUGGAGUGAACCUCAGCUGCUUGUGUCUGGCGCGGUGUAAAUGUCAGCACAGAUUCUUUACAAGAGGGCUUAAUUACAGGCUUUUUUAGUAGUGCGGCAUGUGUUUUGCACGAAGACCAUUGCUGAAACCUUUCAGAAUUUGGAUUUCAAGCUUGACUCCCAGAAUGCACGUAUCCUCUUCGACUUUGAAUGUUGCUUCAAGAGAAACAAGUGUAAAGUGACUGAUUUUUCCCCUGUGUCUUUUAAUAAUGUAGAUGACAUUGUUAAAUGCAAGCUGAACAGUCGAAAACUACAGAAAAAACUAAGUUGUAAAUGAUUGGUCGAUGUUUAUUCAUUUCAAUUACUCAGUAACCACAGUAUCUGGAUUCUCAAGAGGUGGGGCCACCUGCCCAUCACCACAAAGGACUGCCCUCAGCCCCAUAAAGGUGGGAGUAUCCACAGUCCCUUGUGGUUCAUUUGAAUGUGCUUGGUAGUGGUAAGUUCUUUGUUUUGUGAUUUUCUUGUGCUUUGUUAUUUAGCUGGAUUUUUGACUUUUGUGCUCUGUAUUUCAGCUAUUUGCGUUUCAUAUUGGGACUUUGUUUGCCUUGGAUUGCCUUUGCUGGCAACUCCUUUUUGCCUUUGUGCUCCUCGAAGCUGAUUUCUGUGCUACAGAGCAUUUUGAUUAAUAAAUAUUUCAUUUUAUAAAGA